GAGACAGCAGUCGCCGCGGUAAAACGGAGGGUGCAAGCGUUAAUCGGAAUUACUGGGCGUAAAGCGCACGCAGGCGGUCUGACAAGUCAGAUGUGAAAUCCCCGGGCUUAACCUGGGAACUGCAUUUGAAACUGUCAGGCUGGAGUCUUGUAGAGGGGGGUGGAAUUCCAGGUGUAGCGGUGAAAUGCGUAGAGAUCUGGAGGAAUACCGGUGGCGAAGGCGGCCCCCUGGACAAAGACUGACGCUCAGGUGCGAAAGCGUGGGGAGCAAACAGGAUUAGAUACCCGUGUAGUCCCUGUCUCUUAUAC
rnacentral:rRNA from 1 species